UAGCCCAUCGGGGCCUGGAUACCUGGCCUAUUUUU
ensembl:misc_RNA